rnacentral:rRNA from 1 species
UACGAAGGGGGCUAGCGUUGCUCGGAAUUACUGGGCGUAAAGCGCAUGUAGGCGGCUUUCUAAGUCGGGGGUGAAAUCCUGGAGCUCAACUCCAGAACUGCCUUCGAUACUGGAGAGCUUGAGUCCGGGAGAGGUGAGUGGAACUGCGAGUGUAGAGGUGAAAUUCGUAGAUAUUCGCAAGAACACCAGUGGCGAAGGCGGCUCACUGGCCCGGUACUGACGCUGAGGUGCGAAAGCGUGGGGAGCAAACAGG